GACGGAGGUCCCGAGCGUUGUUCGGAAUUAUUGGGCUUAAAGCGCGUGUAGGCGGAGCGGUAAGUACCUUGUGAAAUCCCCGGACUCAAUCCGGGAACUGCUUGGUAUACUGCCGUUCUCGAGGCAGGUAGGGGUCACUGGAACCUUAGGUGGGGCGGUGAAAUGCGUAGAUAUCGCUUGGAACGCCGAAGGCGAAAGCAGGCUGCUGGGCACGAUCUGACGCUGAGACACGAAAGCCAGGGGAGCAAACGGG
rnacentral:rRNA from 1 species